rnacentral:rRNA from 1 species
GACGAACGCUGGCGGCGUGCUUAACACAUGCAAGUCGAACGGAAAGGCCCUGCUUGGGUGGGGUGCUCGAGUGGCGAACGGGAGAGUAACACGUGAGUAACCUGCCCUUGACUUUGGGAUAACUUCAGGAAACUGGGGCUAAUACCGGAUAGGAGCUCCUGCUGCAUGGGGGGGGUUGGAAAGUGUCGGCGGGUGGGGAUGGACUCGCGGCUUAUCAGCUUGUUGGUGGGGUAGUGGCUUACCAAGGCUUUGACGGGUAGCCGGCCUGAGAGCGUGACCGGCCACAUUGGGACUGAGAUACGGCCCAGACUCCUACGUGAGGCAGCAGUGGGGAAUAUUGCCCAAUGGGCGGAAGCCUGAUGCAGCGACGUCGCGUGCGGGAUGACGGCCUUCGGGUUGUAAACCGCUUUCGCCUGUGACGAAGCGUGAGUGACGGUACUGGGUAAAGAAGCACCGGCUAACUACGUG